UGAGAUCUUUUCUUUUUCUUUGAUUGCAGGCAAUGCAGAGCUGUACUGCAAAGUUAGUGUACCUUUUGUAAUGGGAACCACAUGUGGGGACAGGGAAAGAUCGUAUAAGACUGGAAGACUCAAAUGUUUAUGCUAUAAUCUCUCCAUAGAUGGGAAAAGAGGUUGUAUUUCUUGCUGCUAUGGAGAUUUUGGCUGAACAAUUUCCUGGAGCCUUUUCAGAUUAUUCUUUACAAAAGAGAAUGGACGUAGGAAUGCUCUACUCAAUUUUUCAAGGAUGAUUUAACACUCAAUUCAACAUGUCUCAUUCUAUGCAUCUCAAGUGUCAAAUAUCCAAGUUGGCCAAAGUCAGCCCUUACAAAGUUCAACCAUCAUGUUAAAUGGAUUUUCAUUGGAAGGCAUGUUACAUAAUCCUGGAAAUUGGAUUUUUUUUUUUAAUUUGUUGUACUUUUAUACAUCAAUUGGAUAUUGUAUUUAAACAAUUUGCUUUGAA